AUCACAAUCGUCGUUAUAUAAAUAUGAAAUGCAAACUGUGAAAAAACUCGUCUAUGUUCUAAAUUAACCAUAACCUUAUAUUUCGGACGCAGCGCAGAGACUGACAGCGCCACUAUUCGAGUUAUGUUCGAACUAAAAUCAGUCACGUGACAAGCGCUCCGAAAUUAGUUUCAGCGCUCCUACUCGGGCUACGAGCGAAUUAAAGUCAGUCACGUGACAAGACUGCGAGGAGCAACUUCUUCGUACAAGCGCAAAUGAGAAUAAAGUACUUGAAUUAUACACACACAUACAAGCAGUACGAACGAAGAGAAAGAUGCGAUAAAUUUAUCGGAAAGUCUGGUUUGGCAGUUGUUAAAAUACUCCAUCGUGCAGGCAACCGAAAUAGAACGUGCCCUCUCUAACGCAUGGCUGUGCCUGGAGAAUAAACACGAUCGUCGAAUACUUCAGUCGGUGAGUAAGUUUAAACACUGCAUGGGGUCUACUAUUUAUACGGAUAAUAUGUUAUAUACGCGCGUUCACCACAAAUAAAUCUACGAGUCUGAUCAGAUUUACGUCAUUUAACACUUUGCAAAGAAAAAAAGAAUAA